UGUGCAGCCGCGAUAAAUAUGACAGCUCAUAUGCAGCAGUGAUAGUAGCGAAAGAAGAGAGAAAAUGUGGUAGUUGUGGUAGGAAUAUAAAACAUAAACAACAAGUAGUACAGAACGAAUAUAAUUUGCGCUCGCACGAUAGGAAGAAAAAGUGAUUUAGAUUUGCAUGAAGCAAAAGAGUUUUAGUUGAUUAUCAAGUGUAGGUAUAAUUUGUAGGAAAAAAACAAGUGUCAGGGCAAUUUCAAUACUGAAUCCAGAACGGUGAAUAUUGAUGCUUAUCAAUUAAGUACCAUCGGAUGUGCAAGACAGUCCUGUAUUAGUUGGCCUGUUCAGGAUUAGCUCAUAGCCCCUGACGACCAAACCUGCUUAGGGUAAUUGCACAAGUGAUUGGCAAUCGAAGUUUAAAGAAAGAAUCAAAGAAGUUAGCGGGCAAAAGGAAACCACUUCUUGUGAGUAAAAAAAUAAUGAAAUUAAGUUUAAGAAAAUUGUUUACUAAUGAGAAAUAUAUUAUAGUUUAAGCGUUGCUAAAAAAUAAUUGG